CAGCCGCCACGGUAACACGAAGGGGGCUAGCGUUGCUCGGAAUGACUGGGCGUAAAGGGCGCGUAGGCGGCGAUCAAAGUCAGGCGUGAAAUUCCUGGGCUCAACCUGGGGGCUGCGCUUGAUACUUGGUUGCUUGAGUGGGGAAGAGGGUCGUGGAAUUCCCAGUGUAGAGGUGAAAUUCGUAGAUAUUGGGAAGAACACCGGUGGCGAAGGCGGCGACCUGGUCCUUGACUGACGCUGAGGCGCGAAAGCGUGGGGAGCAAACAGGAUUAGAUACCCCCGUAGUCCCUGUCUCUUAUAC
rnacentral:rRNA from 1 species